rnacentral:rRNA from 1 species
ACCUUCUCCCCUUCCUUGCGCAUGCCUGAAACCCUAGCAACGGCACUCGAGGAGUGCUGGUGGUGCACCGAGCGCUUCCUCUAUUGGGGCGGCGGCCCCGACCUCAUCGUCAAUGAUGCCACGCUGCUCAUCCACCAUGGCGUCAAGGCCGACGAGGAGUCCGGCAAGGUCGCCGACCCAGAGUCCACCGACAACCUCGUCAUGCUCGCCAUCGUUCGCACAAGUACCGCAAGAUGGAGGAGAAGCUCGUCCGCGUCUCCGAGGAGACCACCACCGGCGUCAAGCAGAUGCAAGAGUCCGGCACUCUCCUGCUCC